UUCCUAAGUCCUUUAAAUAUCCGAGUUGUAAGUAACUAUGCCAGUUUUAAGGGACUUCCUGGUUUGUUUUUCAUGAUGUUUUGCCGCAUUAUUAUCUCCAGAGACUAGAUGCGAACAUUAGGCUAGGUUUUGUAGAGCUGGAAGCAGUUUUGUCCGUGCAGAAGCAUUGUAACGUGGGCCUCGUGUUGCUGCGGUUACACGCAAGGUGUCAGGUCUAGGAUGCCGAUUAACGAGCACCUCGGGUCGGAUCGCGGGUUAUCGCUGUGUCCUUGGCAGGACGGCGUGGCGCUGGGGCUCGGCCAGCCCGUGCAGACACGUGGAAGCUGCUGUUCGGAGCUGCUGGCGCAAGGGAGCCCAUGGGCGGAGCUGUGCCUUCCGCAGGCAGACCGGGCUGGUCCGGCACUUCUCUACUCUGCCGCUUGCUGGCAGGCCUCUAUGAAGGCAGAAAGGCAUUGGGCCUGCUGGAGACCUGAUGAGAUGGCUAUAGCCAGCAGUGGAUCAGCUGUGUGAUGAAGGCAGCUGUCCUGGCUUGCACCACUGCGUAUGAACCUUGAACAGGCCUCUGUGAAGGCAGAGAGAUGUUGGGCCUGCUGGAGAUCUGAUGAGAUGGCUGUAGCCUGCAGUGGAUCAGUUGUGUGACAACUGCAGUUGCCCUUGGCUUUCUCUGCUUUGCAUUUCCACUUUUGAUAGAGGAGCAAAGGUUGAGUAGAUCUCUCAGAAGGCUUCAGGAUUUGCUGUUAUUUCAAAGAACUAGGUGAAGGCUAUCUUCUGCUAAUGAUGUUUCUCUCCAUGCUGCUGCCUGUGAUCCUUGUACACACUACAACAUCCAUAUCACUGAAACAACUUCUGUGUCUUUUCUCUUGGUCUUGCCAACUCACAGAUGGCAGGUGUUGUGUUUUUUGCCUUCAUAUGAUGUAUUUAAUCAUAAUGGAUUCUGGAAUUUGCUGCAUGUUCUACGUAACUGGAUGAUUUUUGUCUGCAAGGGCUGUAUUCACCAGCUGACAACUAAUGUUGCUUGACAUUAAAAGAAGCCUGAAAAAGCUGUUGUCAUAUAUGAUGGUCUUGUGUACAAGGAGAGUUUUUUUAAUAAAUCUGAGUACAGUAUGAACUCAA